UUGAGUACACAUUGGGAUAGUGAGGAGCCCGUUGAAAAGCACAGACUAUGGCGCUGAAACUGAUUAAUAAGGAACUUAGUGAUUUUGCCUGUGACCCUCCAGCACAAUGUUCUGCGGGUCCAGUUGGAGAUGACAUGUUUCAUUGGCAAGCCACAAUUAUGGGACCUAAUGACAGCCCAUAUCAAGGUGGUGUAUUCUUUUUGACAAUUCAUUUUCCUACAGACUACCCCUUCAAACCACCUAAGGUUGCAUUUCCAACAAGG